GAUGAACGCUGGCGGCGUGCCUAAUACAUGCAAGUCGAGCGAACAGACGAGGAGCUUGCUCCUUUGACGUUAGCGGCGGACGGGUGAGUAACACGUAGGUAACCUACCUAUAAGACUGGGAUAACUUCGGGAAACCGGAGCUAAUACCGGAUAAUAUUUCGAACCGCAUGGUUCGAUAGUGAAAGAUGGCUUUGCUGUCACUUAUAGAUGGACCUGCGCCGGAUUAGCUAGUUGGUAAGGUAACGGCUUACCAAGGCAACGAUCCGUAGCUGACCUGAGAGGGUGAUCGGCCACACUGGAACUGAGACACGGUCCAGACUCCUACGGGAGGCAGCAGUAGGGAAUCUUCCGCAAUGGGCGAAAGCCUGACGGAGCAACGCCGCGUGAGUGAUGAAGGUCUUCGGAUCGUAAAACUCUGUUAUUAGGGAAGAACAAACGUGUAAGUAACUGUGCACGUCUUGACGGUACCUAAUCAGAAAGCCACGGCUAACUACGUG
rnacentral:rRNA from 1 species